CGCAAGCCUGAUGGAGCAACACCGACGUGAGUGAAGAAGGGUUUCGGCUCGUAAAGACUCUGUUGUUUAAAGAAGAACACGUAUGAGAGUAACUGUUCAUACGUUGACGGUAUUUAACCAGAAAGUCACGGCUAACUACGUGCCAGCAGCCGCGGUAAUACGUAGGUGGCAAGCGUUAUCCGGAUUUAUUGGGCGUAAAGAGAGUGCAGGCGGUUUUCUAAGUCUGAUGUGAAAGCCUUCGGCUUAACCGGAGAAGUGCAUCGGAAACUGGAUAACUUGAGUGCAGAAGAGGGUAGUGGAACUCCAUGUGUAGCGGUGGAAUGCGUAGAUAUAUGGAAGAACACCAGUGGCGAAGGCGGCUACCUGGUCUGCAACUGACGCUGAGACUCGAAAGCAUGGGUAGCGAACAGGAUUAGAUACCCUGGUAG
rnacentral:rRNA from 1 species